rnacentral:lncRNA from 1 species
UAAAGAAUGAAGAAUGAUGAAUUCUCUUUAUCACCUUUUUAUAGGUGCGGCAUUCCACGACAACAUGUGACUUGAUGUUCCCCAAAGCGGGAUGCUGCUCAAUCAAAGGCAGGAUUUUUACAAAAGGAUUGAUUUCCCAUUUCCCAAUACACGUGGCUUAUCUUGCAGCCAAUUAUGUGAGCUACCUUCAACCCUUUUCUGGUGCUCUUCAAUGGACAAAGGCCAUAAGAGGCUGGAAAGCAAAAGGACCCAUUAAUGUAACGCAGACAUCAGUCUCCUGGAGUAAACAGGUGAAUGGAGAAGCAUGGAGAGUAGAUGUGGAUGAGUGAAAAAUACAUCACACCAUGUCUUCAAAUUACAUCCAGCAACUUCACAUGCACUAUGAAACCCUUGUUGCCACAAUAGUCCCUCUUUCUUUGAACUACUACAAGAAUAAAGAAAUUUCUAAUCUUUUGUAGAAUAAUUACAUAGACUCUCACUCAUUGCUGUUGUUUCAUAGGUGGCUGAUUUUCCAAUAAUAUUAAAUACUUUUGGAAGGGCUGGGACUACAUCUAAUUUCUUGAAAAGUCUGGUGUUGUGGAAGACCAAGACCCAGACUGUUGAGGUCAGUCUAAUGUAAUGUGAAAUAACUAAGCUCUGUGUACUUCUUUACCAUGAGUAUAUAAAUAAAAUAUCAUUGCAUUUAAGGAAAUUGCUCAAAGCCUCACAGUGAAUAAAGUUGAGAAAACAUGUAGACUUAUUCCAGAUUUUAUGUACUUAGGUUUUAUGGCUUCAUUUGCAAUCAGGACUUCCCUUCCCCUUCCCCUUUCCCUUCCUUCCCUUCCCUUCCUCUUCCUUCUUCUCCUCGUCCUGUUUUUCUCCUCUUUCUUCUUCUUCUUCCUCUUCCCUACCUUCUCUCUCUCUCUUAAAUCUGGACAUUUCUCUCAGACUUGAAAUUAUUUUUGGAAAGGCAAUCUUCACCUUCUACAAGAAUCCAUGUGGGAGAAGUUGAUAUUCUACACGAAUUAGCAGGAAAUAAUAAUAUCCUGCCUUUUAUUUUGAGUCUCCCUACUGUCUCACUCCCUCGAAAUCACCAUAUAAUCAAUCCGAAGCAGCAACAUGCAACAGCAUUAAAAUUAGGGAUGUUUGAAGAGGGAAUUAGCCUACUCACUCAUUAUGCUUGAUUAAUAGAAAAUUAUCCUGCUAACAUUUACCGUGCUAUCCAUUUGUUAUUUGGAAGUGAUUAGCCACAAAUAGCAGUUAAGAGCAAGCCAGUUCUGUGGUUUCAGUCACAGCUUUAAUUACCUCCGUAGUGCCUCUUUCUUCAAACACGCCUUCCUCACUUGAAAAU